rnacentral:tRNA from 1 species
GUUCAAAUAGCUUAUACAGAGCAUAACACUGAAGAUGUUAGGGAGAUUUCAGGAUCUUUGAGCA